AAAUUGAAGAGUUUGAUCAUGGCUCAGAUUGAACGCUGGCGGCAGGCCUAACACAUGCAAGUCGAGCGGCAGCGGGAAGUAGUUUACUACUUUGCCGGCGAGCGGCGGACGGGUGAGUAAUGUCUGGGGAUCUGCCUGAUGGAGGGGGAUAACUACUGGAAACGGUAGCUAAUACCGCAUGACCUCGCAAGAGCAAAGUGGGGGACCUUAGGGCCUCACGCCAUCGGAUGAACCCAGAUGGGAUUAGCUAGUAGGUGGGGUAAUGGCUCACCUAGGCGACGAUCC
rnacentral:rRNA from 1 species